rnacentral:rRNA from 1 species
GACGAACGCUGGCGGCGUGCUUAACACAUGCAAGUCGAACGGAAAGGCCCUGCUUUUGUGGGGUGCUCGUGUGGCGAACGGGUGAGUAACACGUGAGUAACCUGCCCUUGACUUUGGGAUAACUUCAGGAAACUGGGGCUAAUACCGGAUAGGAGCUCCUGCUGCAUGGUGGGGGUUGGAAAGUUUCGGCGGUUGGGGAUGGACUCGCGGCUUAUCAGCUUGUUGGUGGGGUAGUGGCUUACCAAGGCUUUGACGGGUAGCCGGCCUGAGAGGGUGACCGGCCACAUGGGGACUGAGGGAGGGCCCAGACUCCUACGGGAGGCAGCAGUGGGGAAUAUUGCACAAUGGGCGGAAGCCUGAUGCAGCAACGCCGCGUGCGGGAUGACGGCCUUCGGGUGGGAAACCGCUUUCGCCUGUGACGAAGCGUGAGUGACGGUAAUGGGUAAAGAAGCACCGGCUAACUACGUG